UGGAGCUAGAAACACAAGCAUUUAACUAGGUAUUACUGUUGGAGCUAGAAACACAAGCAUUUAGCUCGGUAUUACUGUUGGAGCUAGAAACACAAGCAUUUAGCUAGGUAUUACUGUUGGAGCUAGAAACACAAGCAUUUAGCUAGGUAUUACUGUUGGAGCUAGAAACACAAGCAUUUAGCUAGGUAUUACUGUUGGAGCUAGAAACACAAGCAUUUAGCUAGGUAUUACUGUUGGAGCUAGAAACACAAGCAUUUAGCUAGGUAUUACUGUUGGAGCUAGAAACACAAGCAUUUAGCUAGGUAUUACUGUUGGAGCUAGAAACACAAGCAUUUAGCUAGGUAUUACUGUUGGAGCUAGAAACACAAGCAUUUAGCUAGGUAUUACUGUUGGAGCUAGAAACACAAGCAUUUAGCUCGGUAUUACUGUUGGAGCUAGAAACACAAGCAUUUAGCUAGGUAUUACUGUUGGAGCUAGAAACACAAGCAUUUAGCUAGGUAUUACUGUUGGAGCUAGAAACACAAGCAUUUAGCUAGGUAUUACUGUUGGAGCUAGAAACACAAGAAUUUAGCUAGGUAUUACUGUUGGAGCUAGAAACACAAGCAUUUAGCUAGGUAUUACUGUUGGAGCUAGAAACACA